GUUCCUCAGUGAUAUUCCUCUCUUGGAUCACUUUGUUGUUUUCUGGGAUGGCUGUACUGGAGAUUGUGGAGUCAGGUCGAAGAUUUGGAAUAACAGAGUUAGAAACCCCCAGGAAGAACUCAGAGGCUCCUCCCAGCUCACCUGCAUCCUCAAAUAAGCCUUCUGUCCAGUCCUAAUCUCCAGCCCGUCGACCUCUGCUGGAGGAAUGGGGGCCAGUGCUGGAAGGCCUGCAUGUUGGUCACCCAGUUUGCAGUCCACAUAGAGAUGUAGGGCAGGGCUGGGUCUGGAGGGGCCUCGGAGUCGCAGGAGAACUGUGUGUGUGCGCCCAUCGGCCAGGCCUGCUUGCUGUAGGUUCACGGCGUGGACUUUGCCGUCCUCCCGCUGGUACCGCACCAGUACUGCCCAGGAGGGGAGAUCAGUAUGGGCACUGUCCCCUCAUCCCCUGCCUCCCAGUUGAGACUUGGAUCAACUCUGCUGGAUACAUCUCUAGGGCUCCCAUCCCUAAUUCUACUAUGUAGCUCUCAGCACCUUGUAUGUAAUAGGUACACAAUAAAUGUUUUUCAAAUUGGUUU